rnacentral:rRNA from 1 species
UACAGAGGUCUCAAGCGUUGUUCGGAUUCAUUGGGCGUAAAGGGCGCGUAGGCGGCGGGGUAAGUCGGAUGUGAAAUCUCAGAGCUUAACAUCUGAAACUGCACUCGAUACUGCUCUGCUAGAGGACUGGAGAGGAGAUUGGAAUUCACGGUGUAGCAGUGAAAUGCGUAGAUAUCGUGAGGAAGACCAGUGGCGAAGGCGGAUCUCUGGACAGUUCCUGACGCUGAGGCGCGAAGGCCAGGGGAGCAAACGGG